rnacentral:rRNA from 1 species
UACGUAGGGUCCGAGCGUUGUCCGGAAUUAUUGGGCGUAAAGGGCUCGUAGGCGGUCUGUCGCGUCGGGAGUGAAAUCUUACAGCUUAACUGUGGGCUUGCAGCCGAUACGGGCGGGCUGGAGUUCGGUAGGGGAGACUGGAAUUCCUGGUGUAGCGGUGAAAUGCGCAGAUAUCAGGAGGAACACCGGUGGCGAAGGCGGGUCUCUGGGCCGUAACUGACGCUGAGGAGCGAAAGCAUGGGGAGCGAACAGG